CGUUGGCCGUUGGGAUUUGCUUCGACGAGGGAUACGGAUAAAAUACAAGCGUAAAACCUCGUUUGUUGCAGUAUAUUUUGAACAAAUAAACAAUUUAUUAGGAAAAUACGUUCAAGAAACGUCUCGUGCUGUACUAGCCUAAUUCUGGCAAAUGUUAUUUACUUUCUUCACCUUCGUGUCGACGACUGUUGUUUGCUGAUGGCCAAGUCACGACAGCGGACAUCAAUUAUUCAAAAUAUGUUCUUAUAGCUUCACGUUUACGAUACGAAUGUAAGAUUAUUUAUUUUUUGUAUAUGUAGGUUCUAGUUGAAAGUGACAGCGACGAUGAAAAAAGUGCACACAACAUUGAAAUAUCCAGUUCACUACUAGCUCAAAUCCUGCGACAUAUCACUUGCUAGUAGCCCAGUCUAGUUUAACUUUGCCCAAUCAAGAAUCAUCUCCUGAAUCAGGCAUACUGGCAACACUGGUUCAUUUGAUAAUGUAAGUUUUUAAACUGGUAUUUUAGAUUUAUAUAGCCUCUGUCAAAUCAGGAUGAAAGUCAUGCAUGAAUUGCUUAUCAAUACACAAAGGACAUUUCAAGUUCCAGAUGAACAAAAUAUUAUUAAAGCUUUGAUGAGUGUUCUGCAACUAUGUUUCAACUUUAAAAUACUCUCAUCCUCGUUUGACCCAUAAUUAUUUGUUGAUUUUACUCGAUACUAAAUAGUGAAACAUCGAAUCCAGAGAAAAUCUUUAUAUGCAGAACCUACUGUAAUUCCGAGCUGUAAUCACAUAAUUAUAUAAAAGUCGUUUCAGUAGCAGCAAAAGCCAAACUAAACACCAAUCUAGGAUUAAUAGGUUUAGCUUUUAGGCCGAGAAUAAUACACGAUUGACAUUUUUGUGGCUGAUUGAUUAAUUAAUUAAUAGUAUACUGUAUAUUGAUGUUGUAGUUGUAUACAGGACAUCUGACUUACAUGUCAAAUUAAUAGUCGAAUCUAUGAUUAUAUUGAGCAUGGCAGAUUUGACAUUUGAAACAUUGUUGAUGUUAAUAACCCAUUGAGUCGCAUUGCGCCCUGAUGCGCACUAAGUAUUUAUUAUUUUACUCUGGCUAUCUAACGCUAGCAAUUUUACUCAUCAAGGGGAGAGCACUGGCGGUUAAUGUGUUAACUAGCCUAUCUGCCCAUGUGUACAUAGUUAACCCAUUGAGUCGCAUUGUGCCCUAAUGCGGCCUAAUUUAUUAUUUUACUCUGCCUAUCGCACGACAAUAUUAAGGGCAGAGCGCUGGCGCUUAAUGUGUUAACUAGCCUAUCUGCCCAUGUGUGUUGUUAACACAUUGAGUUGCAUUGUGCCCUAAUUUAUUAUUUUACUCUGUCUAACGCCAGAUGAUUUCACUCAUUAAGGGGAGAGCACUGGUGCUUAAUGGGGUUAACUGGCCUAUCUGCCCAUGUGUGUUGUUAACACAUUGAGUCGCAUUCUGCCCUAAUUUAUUAUUUUACUCUGUCUAACACCAGAUGAUUUUACUCGUCAAGGUAAGGGCGCUGGUGCUUAAUGGGUUUAACUGGCCUAUUUGCCCGUGUUUAUAGUUAACCCAUUGAGUCGCAUUGCGACCUACUUUAUUUUUUUUACUCUGUCUUGAGAGGAGAACGCUGGUGCUUAAUGGGGUUAAUAUUGAAAAUAUAGAUCAACAAUUGUCAAAACGCAUGACUUGUGCAAUCAUUUCUGUAAUAAUUAAGAUAUUAAUUAAAAUACCAAAUAUAAUGCCUUAUGGCUUAUUUCAAAUAGGGAGAUGCUAUGUCCAUUGAAACUUAGUGGAUUUGUUGUAGUACAUCAAAUAAAUGCUAGCCAUAAACAUAUUCAAGUCAAUCGAAGAGAAUGUAGAAUUGCACUUUACAUAAAAUUCCCUAGUUAUUGUACAUUAAUGAAAAAAAAAGCAUUUGAAAUGAAAUAUAUUGUUUUAAUUUUAUUUCUAUGGUUUGUACUAUGAUAUACAUGGGCUACACACUCUUUGGGAACCCGCAGGGCUGUUGGCAGAGCAUUUCCAUGAUCUGGAACUUCAGUCCUAAACACGAUGUGUGGGUGCGAAGAUGUUGUGUAGGAACAGAACUGUACAGAAUAGAAAUAUGAUUACUGAUAUUUUCCAAAGAAAAACUAUUAAUAUAUAGAAGAGGAAAGAAAGAGGCAAUUUGAAAUUUAAAAAUGGUAGGCUUAUUAAGGAUGAGAUACAGAGAAAAACAGUAAUGCAGAACUACAUUCUCUUAAAUUGUCAAAAUUAAACGCUACCAAUCUUGGUCUUGUUUCAAACUUGAAUAACAAAAAGUCUAAAAAUAUAAAAACUAUAAGAACAGAUCAGCUAAGUCCAGUUAUAAAAUUAAAUGAUGAAGGAAAGCUAUCAUUUUAGGAAAGUGUUGUUUUGGGGUGUGUAAACUCAUGAGGUUACAUGUUUCUGGUGAAUCUGUGCUUGCUGCAGCAAAAAAUUAUUAAUCGUUUGUGAUAUAAUUCACAAGAUGUCUAUUUUAACCUGUGGGUUGUGGAAUUUGUUUUGUCUGACCAAAAUAUAAUGAAUACCACUAGUGACAUGAGCAUGUCCAAUUAAUAUUUAAGUAGAAAUAAAUGCAUGCAGCAACCCCUUGCCUAUAUUUUCCAAACAUUGAUUUAACAUGAACUAUUAGCAAUUGGCCAGCACUGAACGCAUAUAUUGUGUAAUGUCACAUAUUUAAAAUUUUUUGAGUAAUUUUGCAAGUGUUCAUACCACAGAAUCUACCACACAUAAUUUUAAACAAAUAGAUAGGUGAAGUAAUUCAAACAAAAUGAUUUUGAACUUUAUUACUCUACUCUGUCGAACGCCUAUUCUACUCGUAAAGGGGAGAGCCCUGGUGCUUAAUGGGUUAAAUAAGAUCGUAUAGUUAUAUGUAUAUCAUGUAUUAUGUUUUUAUGCAGUCUCCCUGAAUCACUUGUACCAGGCUAUGGAAAUUCAUGUUUCCAAUUUUGUAUUUAUUUUUCUUAUGAUGCAGUAUACUGUAAAUUUGAAUAAUAUUUGUGUGCUUAUAGUGAGCUUAUUUUUUGGAGAGUUUGUUGCGAGGCAGCAUAUAUUUUGAUUUUCAAAAUAUUACUGUAUGUUGGUAUGUUAUACUUAAUAUUAGAAUGUUAGGGUUUGGAAUCCAAGUGAGAAUAUAUACAUUUUAAGACCUAACCAGGAACGACUGCGAAAAAUGCAGCACAAGGUCCUCUGGUAGGAAUCGAACCUACGGCCCUGCGAUUCCGGUGCAACGCUCUAACCAACUGAGCUACAGAGGCUAGCUGUUAAGCUGUAACCGUAAGUUCAUGUAUAUAUAGGUAAUCGGGUGUGCGGGUUGUGAUAAGGUGGACUUCAUGACUUAGAUUCUGCACUUCACGUGGUGGAAUUAAUAUUAGAAUGAAUCCAAGUGAGAAUAUAUACAUUUUAAGACCUAACCAGGAACAACUGCGAAAAAUGCAGCACAAGGUCCUCUGGUAGGAAUCGAACCUACGGCCCUGCGAUUCCGGUGCGGCGCUCUGAGCUACAGAGGCCAGCUGUUAAGCUGUAACCGUAAGUUCAUGUAUAUAUAGGUAAUCGGGUGUGCGGGUUGUGAUAAGGUGGACUUCAUCAUGAUUCUAAUAUUAAUUCCACCAAGUGAAGUGCAGAAUCUAAGUCAUGUUAUACUUAAUGCUUUUGGAAGAGUUAUAGGGGUCGGGUGUGAUAUACUUUUUCAAGUAUUUUGUGUCUGAUGUAUGUAAGAGCUUUAUUAUUGGGUUUCUUGGUGAGACCUUAUAUCUUAUGUGUCCUAUAACCCCCUGUAAUUGCGGAUUAUUGCAUACAUUCUAAUUGUUUUGUUUUUUUGUAGGAGUCUGAAGAUGCAAAUGAUACAAUUUCAAACUUAUCACAACCCAUAUUGUGGUCGUUGGCAUCGAACUUACUAGAAUACGACUAGAAACUGUCAAUCAUACGUUAUCGAGGGAAAGGAUGAAAGUUCCAUAACAAGCAACAGUUGUUUUGAUGCAAUUAUCGCCUUAUUGGCAAGUUUGUACAUCUUCAAUAUUGAGUACUGCCACACGAAGAGCAUCUAUCUGCCUUGCAGACUAUAGUAGUGCAUGGGCAAGACAGAAAAUGGCAUAUACAACUGCCAGUGAGGGUCACAGCCCUCUUCAAUGACUUGUCAUGACUCAUGAGUAUUAGUACUACAGUAAUUUUACACUUUUUGAGAGUUAUGUUGACAUAUGCUAACCCAAGUUAAUGUUAUUGAUGGAAUGUGUGUAUUGUCUCACAUCUCACCGAACUGUGGUAAUGUAUUAGAAAUUAUUCGUAUUGCGUUCAUGUUAACAACCGCGCCUGCUAUUGCUAUCACAAGUUGAUUGCUUUUUAAAAUUAGAAUUGUAAACUUUCGGAGCCAUAUGGCAUAUAUGUACGAAUCUUUUGAUGGUUCCCAUAUUUCGGUGAGAUCCAUAAUACUGACUACUGUGCAUGUAUAUUGUAAUUUUAGUUAUAGUAUUGUGUUUAUAAUACAGAAAUUGGAACAUUUAUCUCAACUUAUAUUGCAAUAAUUCAUUCCAAUCUUGGUCUGUUGGAGAAAUUGUAAUAAUUUAAUUAAUCAAGACCAAAUAAACCCCAAUAUUUUUGCCUGAUUCAUUAUAUACAUGUAGAAUACGUCUACAUGCAAGAGUGCAACCAAAUCCACA
rnacentral:lncRNA from 1 species